UGACAGCAGAUUUCUUGCCACCAUAUUUUUCUGCAAGCAGCUUUGGUCUAGAUGAUAAACAGGUUGCUGAUUUGAAAUAUUCUGUAAGCUUUAUUCUACUAGAGCAAUCUGAAGAAAAUGAAGACUUAUUUGUUGCUACCGUCAAUCUUUUCACUGCUGCUGCUCAUUAUCAGGUGUGCUACUUUUUGACAUUUGUAUAUGUUUUCUGGUGUCAAUAAGUGUAUCACUCUUAGGUAAUUUUCCGUUGUUUCAUUUUGGGAUUUCUCAUUAACUGUUUAUAUUGAACUUUGUGUUCUAUACAGCCUACUUUUUUUAUUGCAGUAUUUGCCACCAAAGAGUUUAUGGAUGUCCAACCAGGUAAUGCUGGUGAUGGGAAGCUGCCAGCAAUUAAGGUUUCCUCUGGGCUAGUAGAGUUUAAAAGUUCAAGCCUUGUAGAUGCAGUACUUUGUUAUGUUGUAAAUUCUGAUAGUCAUAUCAAUAAGAGUAUUUUGUGUUGAAAGUA